GCUUACGGCCACACCAGUGUGAAAACGUCUGAUCUCGGAAGCUAAACACACUUGGGCUCGAUCAGUACUUGGCUGGGAGACCGCCUGGGAACCCCGAGUAAUGUAAGCU
rnacentral:rRNA from 1 species